rnacentral:piRNA from 1 species
UCCAGAGAACAGGUCCACGAACACGGAGC